GACCAAUAUCCAACGAUGAAGUGUCGGAAGAACCAUCAUCGGAAUCAUCAACAGUGCACGUGACAAUAGACUUACGAAGUGUAGCCAAUAAGAGAGCUAAAACCGUAUAGUUAUUGGACUGAGGCUCAUGGUCUGGGCUAAUGAAGGGGGUGAUAAUUGGGUUGUCGUGAAAGUAUGAAUAAUCUUGAUAAAAAGAGUCAACGUCAACGUCUCCGGCGCCGGAGAAAGACGGUUGGUGAAAGAAGGCGGCGGUGGGCGGUGGAGUUCCGGCGUAAGAUUUGGAUCUAAAAAGCUUCGUCAUGUGGUUGUUAAUUAUUAUAUGUUGUUUGUUAAUUCAUACUGAAUUGCACAACAACAAAUGAUGGUUGAGAGUUUAGAGGAAAUGAAAGAAAACUUAAAGGAUUGAUGAAUGGGAGGUGGUGGUGUUAUAAUAGAUAUGGUGAUAUGGAAAGUGACAACUAUAUAAUGGAAGGAAGAAAGGUGGUAGACCCGUGA
rnacentral:lncRNA from 1 species